UACGUAGGGGGCAAGCGUUGUCCGGAAUUAUUGGGCGUAAAGAGCGUGUAGGCGGUUCGAUCAGUCCGCUGUGAAAGUCCAGGGCUCAACCCUGGAAAGCCGGUGGAUACUGUCGGGCUAGAAUCCGGAAGAGGCGAGUGGAAUUCCUGGUGUAGCGGUGAAAUGCGCAGAUAUCAGGAGGAACACCGAUGGCGAAGGCAGCUCGCUGGGACGGUAUUGACGCUGAUGCGCGAAAGCCAGGGGAGCAAACGGG
rnacentral:rRNA from 1 species